UUCAACCAUAAAAAAGUUUUUUUAUUCCCUUCUCUCUUUCCCCGAGAAUACGCGUCUGAACUGUGAAACGGAUCCAGAUAUAUCGAUUCCAGAAGCUUCAAUUCAUUGAGCCGACAAUCUCAUUCCUACACCUCGAUUGGUCAUUGCCGUCGUCGAUGCCGUGGGUUCUACUGUUCAAGCUCCUUCCUUCUCUGAUUGAAAACGCCUACGUCGAUCGUGGUCCUUUAUUCUGUGUAGCGUGUGUGUGUUCAGAUCUCCUUCUCCAUUCAUCUGCGUUCUUGUCCGUCGCUGCGGUGUCCGUGUUGCAUGGGUGUGUCCGAACUUCCUCCCCUUUUUUUUUUCAGAUGUGCGUCGACAAUGGGUGCAGGGGGCGAUUCUCUAUUGUUGGUAGUGUGAGUCACGAGUUUUGUCUCCCCUGUUCCGUCUGUUCUGUCGGCUUCUUCCCUUCUUUGUCGUUGUUGAUUCAGAUAUGUUAGUUGAUGCUGUAUCUUCCGCUGAUCCUUAUGGGGCCAUAUUAUUCUAUUGAAAGGAAGAAUGGUAGAUCAAAUCAAUUUCAAUGCAAAUUUAAAUUUAUGUAUUAUAUUCAAAUUCUUAUAUUAGGUGCUCCACAUAAGCUGUAGUUAGGGUCCUCGCCCUUAUCGUUUGUAUUUUGUUAUCUACUGGUGAGAACAGAGUUCCUUGCUACUGCUAAUGUUUUGUAAAAUGGUUAUAAAUUUAUUUUUGGGAGAAUUUAUUGAGAGAGGCGGUUUUGCUGAAGUAUUUACAAAAAGUUUAGAAAUCUUUUAUAAAAUAUAUAUAUAUAUAUAUAUAUAUUGCAAUGAAUCACAUCCUAUUUCAAUCGAAUUAAAAUAUCAAAUUAGAGUUUCUUUGAUCGAGCCUUAAGAGAUGCAUGUUUGUACAUAUAUUUCAUACUAGUUAUGUUUAAAAUUUUAGGGCGUGACAGGAUUGAAAUUAAGAAUAGGUGAAUAUUUUGAAAUUUGAUUUUUUUAAGAGAAAGAGAGAAGAUCUUGUAUUUUAUUAAAAGAUAGUAAAAUAAAAAAAUAUUUAAAAAAUUUCAUAGAAAUUCAUGGAUCUAAACUAGAAAUGAUUUGCUCUCUUUUCAAAGCAUGCAAAGAGAAAGAUGUGAUAUUCAAAUAACGGAAAAUUAAUCUGCAUCUUCUUCAAGUUCUUUUCAAUUUUAAAUUAAAUUCUUGUAAUUUAUUUUUUUUAAUUACUUCUUUUAUUAGUAUUAUUUAUAAAAUUCUACUUAUUAAUACUUAAUUAAUACAAGGCUUUUAUUAUAAAAUUUAAUGAGAUUUUAGUAAAAUACAUUUUGAAAAAUGCUUGUAAAUCUUUUGUUCUUAGCUUAAAUAAUACCCAUUUAGCUCGUGUUUUUUGUUACUUCAUCUUAUGCUCUUCAGCUCUUCAUGCUUCUCUUGUGUUCAGUUAUAGUUAAUGCUGGCAGACAUGGGUUUGUGGUUCAUUUCAAAAAUUGAAAAAUUACAUGUGUUGGGAAACUUGUGGUACAUUAUAAACUUCAUUUAAAAUCUGACAUAUAACUCGAAUAUUUUUUACCUGAUGUUUUAUUGGAACCAAGAGUAAUUUAAACAUUUGAUUAUUUUUUAAGGAGAAUUGGUGAAAAGGACUAACUUGCAACCAAAAUUGGUCCCAAGGACCAAAUUCUGUUGAAGGACCAAGCUGAUUUUCUUAUUCUUUUAAUAAACCCUGGUAGGAUGAAAAUGGCCCUAUCAUAACAAACGAAUUUGUAAACAAAGACCACUCUAUGCUUGGUUUUUUUAUGCGAGUUGAACAGGAGAAGAUGGCCAGGGACGUUUUUAAGGGACCAUCAAUAGUGGUGUGAGCUGUGAGCAAGUCAUGAUCGAUGAGCUUUGAGAAACACAGUCCCAUCUCUUCACACAAUGCCCUAAUUAGACAAGUUUUAAGGUUAUCGAGAGUUCCGACGGUGGAGCAAAUAGUGGCCUAAGUGAAAUACACCAGUGGUGAAAAUGAGCGUCACUAUUUCUUUGCUUGCCUAAUUGGAGGGUUAAGCUACAUGAAUGAUUUCCAUUAGUUGCCCAAUCUAAUGCACAAUAUCUUUAUGAUCAUUGCUUCUACCUGAUUAAAAGAAAAUGCUUUCAAACAAGACCAUGUAACUUGCAAUUACCACCUGUGUGGGAGGAUGCCUUGUCUAAUAGGUUGGUUAGGUAUGCUUAUAUUCUUCUAUCUAACUCUAAACUUAAAACAUCCCCUACCUAAGUGUUUUUUUUGUAAGUAUGAUCUACUCAGUUUUUCUUAUGAGUUCAUGCCCUCUUUCAUUUGGAUUUAUUUUGCCAUCUUUUAAUGCGAUCAUCACUCCUACAAAGAAGUUAAUCAUAUUGGUUUUUUUGAUGAAUGUAAUCAGCUUGUAAUUAGCAACUGUGACACUUUCAACUAGUUGCCUUUGUGAGGAUUUUAAAAAUGCUGUUAGCACCAAUGUAUCACUUACUAGUGAAAGAAAGCUACUAAUAUCUUAAGCACAAAGGCAAACUAGAUUGUAUUGUUCACAUGUAAAUAAAACCAAAUUACAGAUAAUACCUUUGAUCCGUUGAAAAUUUGACCAGUUGAGUAUAAAGACUUUUUUGCGAGCUCACCAUUUCUUCAUCUUCCUUAGCUGAAGUGCAAAAUUCUACUCUAAACGACCUUUCUCUUGAAGAGCACAAUCAGCAUUAAUAAAAGGAGAAGCUGAUACUUUGUGGCAUCCACGAAAACUUUGUGAAGACCAAGACUUUGCUUGAAGCAUCUCAACAACGUAGUAAAUCCCUUUAAGAGGACGUGUCUUGACUCAAGAAGAUGCUUUAAGGAGUAGAAUCCCAACAAACCUCUUGUGAGAUGGAGACUCAUCUUGGUGAGAUCAAUGCAAGAAUGAUAGAGCUUGAAGAAGGCUUAAAGAUUGUAGUAGAGAAAGUAGGCAUUGCAAGAACACUCAGUCAAGAGAUACAAGUAAGAGAUACAAGUGAAGCAACUUGCAACAAAGAUAGCUCUGAAGAAGUCCAAACUUGAAUUAGAGAGAUAGCAUUCAAUGUCUUAAUAUUUGUACAAGGAGGAAAAAGAACCUUAAUUGAUAUGAUUAAUAGAAAUCAGAAAAUGCUAGCUGAUGUAUAAAAAUAGUGUUCUACAUGGUAAUGUAUAACUUGGCCUCAAUGUUUGCUAUUAAAUUUAUACA